AUUCUACCCAUGCGGGGAAGGAUGAGAAGCUUCGACUAAGGUUCGAUUCGAGCGCAGCGAGAAAGCGUUGCCGCAGGCAACGACCCGAAGCGCGCUGCGCUGAGUCAUCCUUCCCCCACCACCA
rnacentral:sRNA from 1 species